GGAUGGACCCGCGUCGCAUUAGCUAGUUGGUGAGGUAACGGCUCACCAAGGCAACGAUGCGUAGCCGACCUGAGAGGGUGAUCGGCCACACUGGGACUGAGACACCGCCCAGACUCCUACGGGAGGCAGCAGUACGGAAUCUUCCGCAAUGGACGAAAGUCUGACGGAGCAACGCCGCGUGAGUGAUGAAGGCUUUCGGGUCGUAAAACUCUGGUGUUAGGGAAGAAGAAGUGCUAGUUGAAUAAGCUGGCACCUUGACGGUACCUAACCAGAAAGCCACGGCUAACUACGUGCCAGCAGCCGCGGUAAUACGUAGGUGGCAAGCGUUAUCCGGAAUUAUUGGGCGUAAAGCGCGCGCAGGGGGUUUCUUAAGUCUGAUGUGAAAGCCCACGGCUCAACCGUGGAGGGUCAUUGGAAACUGGGAGACUUGAGU
rnacentral:rRNA from 1 species